rnacentral:rRNA from 1 species
GAUGAACGCUGGCGGCGUGCCUAAUACAUGCAAGUCGAGCGAACAGACGAGGAGCUUGCUCCUCUGACGUUAGCGGCGGACGGGUGAGUAACACGUGGAUAACCUACCUAUAAGACUGGGAUAACUUCGGGAAACCGGAGCUAAUACCGGAUAAUAUAUUGAACCGCAUGGUUCAAUAGUGAAAGACGGUUUUGCUGUCACUUAUAGAUGGAUCCGCGCCGCAUUAGCUAGUUGGUAAGGUAACGGCUUACCAAGGCAACGAUGCGUAGCCGACCUGAGAGGGUGAUCGGCCACACUGGAACUGAGACACGGUCCAGACUCCUACGGGAGGCAGCAGUAGGGAAUCUUCCGCAAUGGGCGAAAGCCUGACGGAGCAACGCCGCGUGAGUGAUGAAGGUCUUCUGAUCGUAAAACUCUGUUAUUAGGGAAGAACAAAUGUGUAAGUAACUAUGCACGUCUUGACGGUACCUAAUCAGAAAGCCACGGCUAAUUACGUG